CAGUUCGGACUGUGGUCUGCAACUCGACCACACGAAGCUGGAAUCGCUAGUAAUCGCGAAUCAGCAUGUCGCGGUGAAUACGUUCCCGGGUCUUGUACACACCGCCCGUCCACACCAUGGGAGUCAGCAACGCCCGAAGUCAGUGGCCCAACCGGAAGGGGGGAGCUGCCGAAGGCAGGCCCGGUGACUGGGGUGAAGUCGUAACAAGGUAUC
rnacentral:rRNA from 1 species